UUUAAUGAAGAGGAUUUGAAUACUCUUGACUGUUUUGUGAAAUCGAGUUACGUGUGUGAUGAAGAAUUAAAAGGGUGUCUAUAGGAUUGAGUAUGCGGAGUGAAUGAAAUUUAUUGGGUUAAUCUAACGAGACAGUCAGUGGAUACAAGAUCGUGAGUAUAAAGCGGUAUCGAAGAUUAGCAGUUUGGGUUAUUCGGGGUUCUCUGUAACG
rnacentral:lncRNA from 1 species